UCCAACAGUGCGGUUGCCUGGGCUCUCCUGU
rnacentral:piRNA from 1 species